GGACAUCGACAGUCUUGUUGCAAGUGCUCGUUGAGGGUGGCCACAUUCAAGUAAAAUCUCUGGAUUUUAAUAAGAACCAGAGACAAACAACAGCCGAACGUUUAUAAACUGCUCCUACGUUACACAGUAGUAGCAGAAAGGGCUGCUGCUGCUGCUACUACUACUACUACUACUACUACUACUGCUGCUGCUACUGCUGCUACUUGAGGAGCAGGCUGGACCUUUUUACAGCUGAUGAACCACCACGUCCCAAUAUGACCUCAGGCACCCGUGGUAAACAUCCCGACUCCAGAUUUGCUGUACUCGGAAAACCUGGAGUGGGCAAAUCCGCCCUUGUGGUUCGAUUCUUGACCAAGCGUUUUAUAUGGGAGUACGAUUCAUCGCAGGAACGGACAUAUCGACACCAAACAGUGAUAGAUGAAGAACAGGUGCUGUUGGAGAUAUUGGACACUGCAGGGCCCGCCAAGG